rnacentral:lncRNA from 1 species
CAUUCAACAGCCGUUUAUUCCUGGGAUAAAUCAUACGUGGUCCUGAUGUAGACUCCUUUCAAUGUGAGGCUAGAUUUUGCCUGUCAGUGUUUUACAAAGGAUUCCUGCAUCUCCAUUCCUAAUGGAUUUUGGCUCAUAGACGUCUUUUCUUGUGAGGUCCCUGGAGUCAGGUUAAUGUCAACAUCACAAAAUGAGUUAAAAAGUGUUCCCUCCUCUGGUACUUUUUGAAGAGUCUGGGAAGGAUCAAUCUUAUGUCUUAAAUGCUUGAGACAAGACACCAGUGAGGGCAUCAGGUUCUGGGUUUUUCUUUGUUGGGAAGUUCUUAUUACUGCUUCGGUUUAUUUACUUAUUACAGGUCUACUUAGGUUUUCCAUUUCUUCUUCAGUCAGUUUCAGGAGUUUGUGUUUCUAGGAAUUUAUCCAUUUCAUCUAUGUUAAGCAACUUAUCGGCAUCAAGCGGCCCCACAUUUGUCAAUUUUUUGUAAAUUUUUUAAAAGAAAGAACUGUUGGUUUCAUUGAUCUUCUCCAGUGCUCCCCUGUUCCAUUUAUCUCUGCUCUAAUUUUCAUUAUUUCCUUUGUUCUGCUAACUCUUUGGUUUACUUUGUUCUUCUUGGUCUAGCUAAUCAAGGGUAUCUUCUCACAGCCCCAAACAAUAGUCAGCCACAGGGCCAGUCUCCCCAUGACCAGGUUGUUGGACAGAUAAGCAAUACAGACUGGCGUGGACCUGCUACCAGGGCACCCCCAGAAUACAGCUUCACCUGAACCUCUCCUGCCCCCAGGCUUUGAUGCCUGCCCAUCAACAGGCUGACCUGGCCUCUCACAGACCCUUGCUGAAUUCUGCAAGGGAGCACUGCCCAUGGGCAUGGAGCCCUACCCACCACCACCAGGCACUGCCUCUGUGUACUUCCCUCACACCUGUCCAAGUUUGGGUCACUGGUCCCUAUGUCCACGGGCACCCAAGAGCAUCCACCACCCAGCAGAUCUGACAACAGCAAAGCCUGCCCUUCCGUCCAGCCACCAGUCCCGCAUCUUGGAGCCCAAGACCAUCGGAAGCUCCAUUUCCAGUUCGAGACAGCAGUGAAGGGGAAACCCUGAACUCGGCAGUUGGGAAACUGCCCACACGCUCAGUGUGCACUCCAGCCCCAAGGUGGAAAGGAUGGACUUGAGCUUGUCCACGAGUCCCCUGAUGGCCAGAGAAGGAUGACGACUGCCCCACCCCUUCUCCCUGACAGCCCUUCCCAGUUCCAGGGCAUCUCACUCCAUACCCAAAGGGCACCAAGGAGCCCCAGUUUCUAGAUGCCCUGGAAGUCGGAUGCCAGCACCCGGUGCCCUGCAGGGUUUGGGCUCUGCUGCUCUUCCACUCCUCAGGUCCCGGGAGGCGACAUCCUCAUCAUCUCCAGAGACGCCAGGCAUCAGCUGGACCUCAGCUCGGCCUCCAGCAGCACCUCCUCCUCUUCAGCCUCCACCAUGUCCAUGGAGCAUCGGGCACACGAGGGAUGUGUCUCGGGGUCUGCCUCACAGCCCCUCACCAUCACUCUCCACCCAGCAGGUGGACGGCGUUGCAUCAUCUGUGCAGCCUGGACAUGAGAACAGCAACGUGUACAGGGGCUUCCUGCUGACCUGGGCGGGCGGGUGUCCCCUUGGUCCCCUCACUCACAUCUCUCUGGGUACAGACCUCACCCCGACAGCUACUUUGACAAGGAACCCUGUCUGGACCCUCCAGGCAGCAUGCCAUGCCUGAAAGGAGGCAGAUGCCACCACAGCCCCCGUUAUGCACGGGUGGAAACCAAACCAUCAUCCGGUUUGGUUUUGGGGAACCCUUACGUGGUGGUGACCCUUAUGCUCCCUCCAAAUCCAGGAGGCUAUGGAUCUGAUAAGAAAACCCAUGUCCUGUCCCCGAUCCCCUUCUAACCAACAGUGACCCUGACUCUGCCUGGCACUCAGAGCCCUGUGCUGGGUGGUCCAGAGUCCUCCCCCCGUGCCCCCACAGCCCCCCACCAGGACAGACUCACCUCCAAGCCUGGGCUCAGAGGCCACCUUCUCUGGCUCCUGUGCAGGCCCAGCCUUUGGGGUCAGAUUGAUCUGAGGUAAAAACCACAGGGGCCAGGUCACAGCCCUGUGACAGGCAAGCCCAUGUGGUGACUCUCAGAGCCUCAGUUUCCUCCCUUGAGAAUGGGGUCGUCGACUCUGACCCCAGAGGGCUUUGGGGGGACUAAGGUUGGGAGAGGAACGCACCCAAAGUGAUGGAUUCAGGGGGUUGCCUGGCUGGGGGCGCCCAACACAGAAAAGGCCCCUGGAAGUCAGCGCGGGGCCCAGUGAAGGUGAACAGCGAUGACUCUGAGUCCCCCGUUCCCAGCCAGAUUCAGUCACUUAGGGCUGAGCAACCCUGGGGGCUGGGGCCACUGUUCAUGCACAAAGUGGGGUGAAAUCACUGGAGGCCAGAGGGCUGGCCAGUAACAGUAACCGCCCCCAACCCUCGCCCUCAGGGCUGGGGGGCCCCUCCUCCUGUGGCUGCCUCCGAGGCUCUUAUGCUGCCCGGGGCUGCAGGGACAGGCCCAUCCCCCAGUCCCCCCAGGAAGACAAGGAAAAGGGACGCAGAGGAGAAGGGGACAGAGCAGUCUGUCCUUUCGUCUGGAGUAGAUUCCAGCCAUGCACCGAGCCGAACCCAGGGCCGAGUCUGGGGUCCAGGACAGCAGGGCGGGGGUAUAUUCGAUGACUUUCCUGUCUUCAGAUGGCAACCCACCUGGCCAGCACCCUGCAGCCUGCCUGCAUGGGUGGCGGGUGAUCUGGGCCUCAGGGGAUGUGGGGGGGGGGUCGCGGAACAGUUGGACGGGGCCGCUCCACAGGACCAGCCGCGCGGAGAGCCGUUGGGUGUGCCGCGCGUGCGCUGCAGACCGGGUCACGUGCACGCGCCAGCGCAGGACCCGCAUGAUCCGCAGCCUUGGACUCAGGCCGGGAUCCUCCGAGCGAAGGCCCGAGGGCUUGCG